rnacentral:rRNA from 1 species
AAUGAACGCUGGCGGCAGGCCUAACACCUGCAAGUAGAGCGGAGCGGCGGACGGGAGGGGAAUGCCUAGGAAUCUGCCUGGUAGAGGGGGAUAACGUCCGGAAACGGGCGCUAAUACCGCAUAAUAUCAAAUGAGCCUAGGUCGGAUUAGCUAGUUGGUGGGGUAAAGGCCUACCAAGGCGACGAUCCGUAACUUGUCUGAGAGGAUGUUCAGCCCCACUGUAACUGAGACACGGUCCAGACUCCUACGCGAGGCAGCAGUGGGUAAUAUUGGACAAUGGGCGAAAGCCUGAUCCAGCCAUGCCGCGUGUGUGAAUGAGGUCUUCGGAUUGUAAAGCACUUUAAGUUGGGCGGCGUUACCAACACGAUAAGCACCGGCUGAGUUCGUGCCAGCAGCCGCGGUAAUUC